rnacentral:antisense_RNA from 1 species
AUCUGAAGUUUAUCAAUACAUGAUCUCCUCAAAAACGAAAGAAAUAAAACAAGUAUCUGCAAUUUGCUGAGAAUUUAAUAUGUGUCAGUUGCCUGCAAAACUCAUCAUUCUUUAGAGUUUCAAAUACAUCUGUGAGGACGCUAUUGUUGUUUCCACUUAUACAUGAGAAAACUUACAAAAGGCAAGAGACAAGCCCACGGUCACCCAGCUGGAAAACUAAGCUCCAUGAGAAGAGGGGACUUGCCCAUGUGGCUCAGGGCUCUAUGCCCAGUGCCCUAGACAGUGCCUGACUGUGUGUGCGGAAUGAAUGAAUAACCUUGGUGAUCCACCCAAUGGCACUGGCGCUCAGUGACCUCAUCUGAAAUGGAAUAAGGAUUUUUAUGAAAAUGCAUGUUUGUUGGAUAACACAAAGGAGAAUAUUAUCUAAUGUGGCUUGGGGUCAAUAUC